AUACGGAGGGUGCAAGCGUUGUUCGGAUUUAUUGGGCGUAAAGCGAGUGUAGGCGGUUUGACAAGUCGAAUGUGAAAUCCCGAGGCCCAACCUCGGAACUGCAUCCGAAACUGUCAGGCUAGAGUCCCGGAGAGGAUGGCGGAAUUCCCGGUGUAGGGGUGAAAUCCGUAGAUAUCGGGAGGAACACCAGUGGCGAAGGCGGCCAUCUGGACGGUGACUGACGCUGAGACUCGAAAGUGUGGGUAGCAAACAGGAUUAGAAACCCUAGUAGUCC
rnacentral:rRNA from 1 species